rnacentral:rRNA from 1 species
UAGUCCGCACGAGCGCAACCCUCGUCCUUAGUUGCUAACAGUUCGGCUGAGAACUCUAAGGAGACUGCCUACGCAAGUAGGAGGAAGGUGAGGACGACGUCAAGUCAUCAUGGCCCUUACGUCCAGGGCUACACACGUGCUACAAUGGGGUAUACAAAGAGCAGCAAUACGGUGACGUGGAGCAAAUCUCAAAAAUAUCUCCCAGUUCGGAUUGUAGUCUGCAACUCGACUACAUGAAGUUGGAAUCGCUAGUAAUCGUAGAUCAGCUAUGCUACGGUGAAUACGUUCCCGGGUCUUGUACACACCGCCCGU